AACUGUUCUUCGAUUCGAUUGGGGUUAUUACCGACAAACACCGACAUGAAACGACAUGAGCGGGUCCACCCAGCAGAUAUAAGCGUUACUUUAUGCGGAUGACUCUGAGACAGGAGACUGUGUGUCGGCUUGUAAGUUAGUUUCGCUAGCGGGCUAGCGAUGCUAACUGAAACCUGAGAAACCUGAGUGUUUAAAGUCACAUCUGCAUUGCAAGAGCAGCUGUUCAAAGGAGCAUUACGUGUCCUAAAGCUCUUUCUUCAGAGUAGUGUUGUAACGUGUUACAGUGAAAAGUAACCGUGUCUCCCACCUUCAGUAUUUAAAUCGUUAAUCUCAGACAGACUUCACUGAAUUCUUUUGUUAAAUAUGAGUAAAUCAUAGCCUUGUAACUUUACUAGAACAGACAGUGUCAUACAGAAUUGUAGGCUAAUAUGCACUACCUAUUUCCUAAGCUGAAAUGAUUAUGAUCUGAUUAACUUUGAAUUAAUAUUUUAUUAUUACCAUGUAAAAGUCUGUUAAGCAGAUAACAUGGCACAUGUAUGACUUAACAUAUCUGUGUAUUUGUGUUCAAUGUUCCUCUAGGAUGUCCAGCGUGAGACACAACUUGAAUCCAACCAGACUGAACACUGACUCCAGGGACGGACGAGCCUGAAGGACACAGCUGUGAUGACCAAUUGACCAUGUUUUGUCUCUUAUGGCAAAGCAGAAAUAUUAAACACUGGGUUCUUAUCUAAAGUGUAUCAAAUCAGAAAGCAAAAGAUACACAUUGUUGUUAUAAGUUUUUAUUAUUUUAACCAACCAUAAUGAAGAUAGAAAUGAAUUCUUAUCCAUGCCACUUAGCAAUGACUGCCACCACCAAACAGUUGCAGGCCAUCUUUAUUUAAGGGAGGAAUUUAGAAGUGUUGUGUAGCUUCUGAUGAUGAUGCAGUCGUCCACGUGUUGACCACCAUGUUGCUGCUGACGACGUCAGGUGCUGCAGUUCCUCAUCUAUAAAGAGAAGAAACGCACUGUUAAAGAAUGUUUUGAGUUGUGUAUGAAGCACAACAGAUUUCAGAUAGAACCGUUGUACUGUGGUCUGGGUUUGUAUCCUAAUGGUUAAAUGCACAUAUUUUAAGUCGCUUUUGAUAAAAGUACUGAAAGAAAUACAACAUUGUAAAAAUAGAUAAAAUGUCUUUCUACCUCAUCUGUAAUAUUCAAGGUGAUAAUCUCCCACAGAGCUAUUGAUAACAGUCCACAUCAAGUCUCUCCACUUCCCUCAGUGUGAAAACAUAAUUAUAUAAUUAAUUUGAGAACUGUUUACAACACUGAUGUGUGGAGAUUAAAAUCAUAUCUAAACUGUCUAAUUCACUGUAAAACUCCAUGACAUUCGCAGGCCAUCUGUAGUUAAGGGAGCAACGUAUGGAGUGAUGUGUAGAGGGCAGAAACUUGGACUAUGGGCAGAGAAGGUCUCUGGUUCGUCUCCGGUUCGACUCCACGGAGAGACAACAAAAGACAAACCUGGAUUGAUCUGUCCAAAAAUCCAAGAGUCUCCCUACCCUCUCUAGUGCCCCUGAGCAAGGCACCUCACUCCCCCAACAUCUGCUCCGUGAGCGCCGUACAUGGUCGCUCACUGCUCUGUGUGUCCUGCACCAGAUGGGUAAAAAGCAGAGAUUAAAUUUCCCUACCUGCAUGAGUGUGCCUUUGCAUGUCUGUGCAUGUGUUUGGGACGAAUAAAUGGAUCUUAAUCUUAA